rfam:Pygoscelis adeliae contig42063, whole genome shotgun sequence.
ACUGGAGGACUAAUCAGACUGAGUCUGAAGAGUGAGACUCAGAUGACAGUAGCCUCCUAAAAGAAAAGGGAUGGAGAGAGCAGUCCUACUUACAGAAAAGCAAAGGGCCGACUGUGCCAUCCGACACUU